UCAUGACCAAGAAGCAGCUGGG
rnacentral:piRNA from 1 species